CAAGUAGAACGCUGAAGAGAGGAGCUUGCUCUUCUUGGAUGAGUUGCGAACGGGUGAGUAACGCGUAGGUAACCUGCCUUGUAGCGGGGGAUAACUAUUGGAAACGAUAGCUAAUACCGCAUAACAAUGGAUGACACAUGUCAUUUAUUUGAAAGGGGCAAUUGCUCCACUACAAGAUGGACCUGCGUUGUAUUAGCUAGUAGGUGAGGUAAUGGCUCACCUAGGCGGCGAUACAUAGCCGACCUGAGAGGGUGAUCGGCCACACUGGGACUGAGACACGGCCCAGACUCCUACGGGAGGCAGCAGUAGGGAAUCUUCGGCAAUGGGGGCAACCCUGACCGAGCAACGCCGCGUGAGUGAAGAAGGUUUUCGGAUCGUAAAGCUCUGUUGUAAGUCAAGAACGGGUGUGAGAGUGGAAAGUUCACACUGUGACGGUAGCUUACCAGAAAGGGACGGCUAACUACGUGCCAGCAGCCGCGGUAAUACGUAGGUCCCGAGCGUUGUCCGGAUUUAUUGGGCGUAAAGCGAGCGCAGGCGGUUUGAUAAGUCUGAAGUUAAAGGCUGUGGCUCAACCAUAGUUCGCUUUGGAAACUGUCAAACUUGAGUGCAGAAGGGGAGAGUGGAAUUCCAUGUGUAGCGGUGAAAUGCGUAGAUAUAUGGAGGAACACCGGUGGCGAAAGCGGCUCUCUGGUCUGUAACUGACGCUGAGGCUCGAAAGCGUGGGGAGCGAACA
rnacentral:rRNA from 1 species